UACGGAGGGUGCGAGCGUUGUCCGGAAUCAUUGGGCGUAAAGGGCGCGCAGGCGGCUCAUUUUGUCAGGCGUGAAAGCCCCGGGCUUAACCUGGGAACUGCGUUUGAUACGGAUGGGCUAGAGUUCGGGAGAGGAGAGUGGAAUUCCCAGUGUAGAGGUGAAAUUCGUAGAUAUUGGGAAGAACACCGGUGGCGAAGGCGACCCUCUGGACCGAUACUGACGCUGAGGCGCGAAAGCGUGGGGAGCAAACAGG
rnacentral:rRNA from 1 species